UCAAACUAAAGAUGGCGACCGGCGCACGGGUGAGUAACACGUAUCCAACCUGCCGAUAACUCGGGGAUAGCCUUUCGAAAGAAAGAUUAAUAUCCGAUGGUAUAUUAAAACCGCAUGGUUUUACUAUUAAAGAAUUUCGGUUAUCGAUGGGGAUGCGUUCCAUUAGGCAGUUGGUGAGGUAACGGCUCACCAAACCUUCGAUGGAUAGGGGUUCUGAGAGGAAGGUCCCCCACAUUGGAACUGAGACACGGUCCAA
rnacentral:rRNA from 1 species